rnacentral:rRNA from 1 species
AUUGAACGCUGGCGGCAUGCCUUACACAUGCAAGUCGAACGGCAGCACGGGAGCAAUCCUGGUGGCGAGUGGCGAACGGGUGAGUAAUAUAUCGGAACGUGCCCAGUCGUGGGGGAUAACGUAGCGAAAGCUACGCUAAUACCGCAUACGAUCUAUGGAUGAAAGCGGGGGAUCGCAAGACCCCGCGCGAUUGGAGCGGCCGCUAUCAGAUUAGGUAGUUGGUGGGGUAAAGGCUCACCAAGCCGACGAUCUGUAGCUGGUCUGAGAAGACGACCAGCCACACUGGGACUGAGACACGGCCCAGACUCCUACGGGAGGCAGCAGUGGGGAAUUUUGGACAAUGGGCGCAAGCCUGAUCCAGCAAUGCCGCGUGCAGGAUGAAGGCCUUCGGGUUGUAAACUGCUUUUGUACGGAGCGAAAAGGCUCUCUCUAAUACAGGGGGCUCAUGACGGUACCGUAAGAAUAAGCACCGGCUAACUACGUGCCAGCAGCCGCCGCAGUAA